GAAUGAAGAAAGCAAGGUAAUGAGCACGAAAAUUGAAUCGGGUCUCUAGGCCUACCCUCUCUGAUGCCUUCCGGCUUUGAUUUGGGGGCAUGGUUCGAAGGCAUGACG